UGUGGGAGCGGGCUUGCUCGCGAUUGCAGUGUGUCAUUCAGCAUAGAUGUCGACUGUUGCACCGCAAUCGCGAGCAAGCCCGCUCCCACA
rnacentral:misc_RNA from 1 species